AUGAAAAUCCUUGGUUGGAACUGUCGUGGGAUGCUAUCUACCACGGCAGUUCGAGAGCUCUUGGACCUUCAAGAGCGGGUUCAGGCAGACUUAAUUUUUCUUUCAGAAUCCCACUUGAAUAAUUGUAAAGCCGAUGAGCUACGUCGGGUCCUUAGUUUUGAUUCCAUGUUUGUGGUGGAGAGUGAUGGUCGGGUCGGGGGCCUUGUCUUGUUUUAUCAUAAAGUGAAUAAAGUUGAGUUGAACUAUAUCUCGGCUAAUUUUAUUGAUAUUUUGUUUAUGAAUGAGGAAGUCGUACAGUGGCGUUUCACGGGUUUUUAUGGUCAUCCGAACUGGAGCGAUCGCAAUUUAUCUUGGGAGGAUAUUCGUAAUUUGUAUCAUAAGGGUAAUCAUCCAUGGGUGGUUCUAGGAGAUUUUAAUGAGAUUUUAUAUUCCUCGGAGAAAGAGGGGGGCAAUGCGAGACCAAAUGGAAUGAUGAAGGAUUUUCGUGAUUGUCUAGCAGAAUGUGGCUUGGAUGAUAUGGGGUUCAUAGUGUUGGGAAUAUGCCCUAGAGGUAAUAAUAAAAGGAUUAUUAUUAUAUUUCCUUGUUCAUGA
rnacentral:rRNA from 1 species